rnacentral:lncRNA from 1 species
AUUCUCCCAGCUCCAUCGGCUGCCAACCUAGGGCCAUCGUCUGCCUCCAUCACCCCUCCGCCCGCCCGCCUACCCACCCAAUCCCAAACGGGUGCUGGAUCAGGUGCUGAAUCCGGCUGCCUCCUCGGGUCCUCCUUCCCCUUCCCUCUUAGGCAUGGGGAGUGGAGCAACAGACGGAGAGUGGCAUGAAGACACAAAGGAGGAAGCACACCAUUGCCAAGACCCCAAGGAAGAAGGAUGGAAAGCGCUGGCAGUCCUGCCUGGCCCCCAGCCAGUUCCCUGCUGAAGAUGGCCAGAUCCCCUUGUCUGGUCUGUAUAUGCCACUUUUGCUGGGGUGGAAGGAGGGAAGGGCUGGCUUGCUGAGCUGGGCUCUAGAAUGGGAAGGGUACCUUUCUGCAGAUCCCAUUUGGACUCUCCACUUGAACAAGUGAGGUGUCUGAUUUUCUUCUUCGGUACCUUCCUCUCCUCCCCCUCCCUUCGCCUCACCCCGCUUUCAUCUCUCAUCACCACCUGGGUCCUACUGCUUGGCACCCAACCAACUGGAUGCUGCCACGUUUGGCAGUGCUGCACUGGCACGUGAACAGUGUCUCAGAUCCUGGCACUGCAGCAAACCCAAAGCCACCAAACAUGCUCAUGAUGCCACUUGGCAGCAGUCAGAGAGAGGGGGCUGUGCACAUAGUGGUGGCCAGGCAUUGGGUGGAGCUCUGUGCAGGGAACUGGCAUGAGAGGAUGCCCUUAACAACUGGGCUGAGUCAGCACUCCCUGGUCAAUCUCAGCUCUGCCUUCCUCCCAACUAGAUAUCCACCUCCUUCCUACCCUUAUUGCCCCCACGAAAGGGAUUUAGAUGGUACCAUAUUGAGUGUUUGAGCACCAUGCGAAAGGAAACAAGCACAGAGGGACAGGCUAGAGCACAGGCUGUAGACACACCCAAGGCUCCAGGCUAGUGGACCAUACAUAUCCUUGGACAACAAGAACAACAACAACAACAACAAAACCCUAGGAGAGCAAAAGGAGGUGGAGAGAGGGACACCAGCUGUGUUGUUACCAGGAUGGCACAAGAAGAGAUUGGAAGGGAAGUAGGAAGGAGUGACCCUCAGACCUUGCUCUUGGGUGAUGGGGUGGUUUGUACUUAUGCAUAUUUCAUUCUGCCUUGUGCCUUGUGAUUUGCUGAGCUGUGGUUGAGAUGAACUGGUUCUUUCUCCCUUGUUAAAAGGUCCAUAUUCAAUAAUAGUCCUAGAAAGAUGGAAAGGUGCUCUAGGCCUAGAGAGGUAGACAGGUGUUAGGAAGACAAAGGGACUUGUCCUUCCAGAAAGACUAUGCAAGGCACCCAGUUAGAGUUGGAUAGAUUUCCAUAUCUUUGAAAUCCAUCCCAAGAAGGGAGAUUGAGGAUAAGCAAUGAUCCCUGGUAGAGGGGAAGGCCCCUAGGAGGAGAAUCCCCAGCAUCUGUGGUGAUACAGACUAGCCCUCAGAAAACUAGACCUUGAGCCCCCAUCUGAAAGAAUUUCUAGUAGGUUUGGCUUUCCCAGUGACUGGGCAGAUCUUUAGAAGAUCUGGAAGAUUUGGCUGUGGGUGAUGUGGAGGGGAGGCUGGGUGGCUCUGGGAGAUAGGACCUGCCCAGAGGUAGGAGUAAAGUCCAUGCUGGGCUGAGCUGCUCAGGGCUGGGGAAGUUCUGAUUUCAGCAUCUCUGGAAGUGUAUGGCUACUUCAGAAGAAGCAAGGUGUUUUCCACAGCAGAGGAGAAAGCAGGGAGGCACUCAGCCAAAGUGGUGAGUGGACAAUGUUUCUAUCUUUUCUCCUGUUCAAGAACAGCCAACGUGAGCAGAAGACCAUGGUCAGUUUCCAGUAUGUUGGGGGUGGGAGUCGGGGUGAUGUCAGAGUAAUGAAGUCAACAAAUCUGAGGUUAUGAUAAGCCCUGGUGUGGUAGCCCCUGGGGUAGCAGGGUUGGUCCCUGGGUGCUGAAGAGAUGGGGGCAGGUCACAGAUAUGGUGCUAAGCUCUCUAGGUCAGUGGUUCUCAAACUUCAGAGGGCAUAGAAUCAUUUCAGGAGUUUCUGGUUCAGUUGGUCUUAGGUGUGGUCCAGGAAUAUGCAUUUUACAUAAGCACUCAUGUUCCAAGUGGACACUUGAAACGUUGAAAAACACUGUUCUGAGAGAUGGCAGUCACCUUUAGGAUGGUCGAUCCAAUCAGGGUUUCCCUUGCCUUUUGCAUCUGUCUUCCCCAGACUUACUCAUGUCUUUAUGCUGACAUGUUUGGGAUAUGUUUGUUGUGGGGUGUGUGUAUGCGUUUUGGGUGGGAGCAGUGGGAGGAAAAGGAGAGAUUGUGAGGUUGAAUCCAGCGAAUGUAACUUGUUAGAACAAUGAUCCUCACUGGCAGUAGUUACCACAGAAGAAUCCUUUAGGGAACACUUUGAAAAUUCACUCUUUCUUCACCCACAGAUUCUGAAGGCUGGCUGCCCGUGGGUUUCUGAAACCUCAUCAUUGAGAAUCACUAGGUUAGGAACAUUGUCAAGAGAUUAUUCUCUGUGAUCAAGUCAAAAUUGUGUAGAUUUUGUGGCUAGGUACAAGAUGGGUCCUGGAGGCAGGCCUGGGUCCCGGGUAAUGGAAGUAGGGGUCCACAGAGUACAACUCAGCCUACUGCUGAUACUCAGCAAAUGGCAGAAGAUGCUGUGGUUUGAGCACUUGGUGGGGACAUCUAGAAAUGAGCACAGCAUGGGUCAUUCUUCACAUCCAAUUGAGAAGACUUAGUGCAGGGUUUGGUAUCAGGGAGGACUUGUAGAUAUGGGGCAGUGCUGAGCCCCUGCUGAUUACUGGUUGUGGUGUCUUAGCCAUUGUUUGUGUAAGAAUAUGUGUGCAGUUGGGUGGGAUUAGGAGUCAACCCCGGGUGCUGCAUCACCUUUCCCCCUCUUCUUGGACAGGUUCAGCUUGUUCUGGUCUACCUAUACUCAACCUGCUUCCCCAUUAGCUUCUGGCCAGACUUCUUUCCAUGGCUGCGGAAUUGCAAGAAAUACCAUACUUAGACUACUGCCAGAGAAUAAUGACAUUUACCCCUUGUCUGUGCUUUGUGUGAGGGCUGUCUGGGUUCCAUAUAUGAAGGAGCGUCACUGGGUGGUCACGCAAUUGAAUCACGCAAUUUUAUCUUCUUCCCAUAACAUAUAGUUUCUCUCAAGAGGAAUUACCUUCAUGAUUACUUCCCAUCUUUCCCCAAACUUGAUGGGCCAUGGUCAAGAUCUUCUGCAAAUGUCCUCUCUCAAAUUUGCCUUCAUCUGAUCUUUUUAUAAUGUAUCUGAGCUAUAAUCCUGUAGACCCUGAGGCUGGGUCUACAGACUUGCUGUAGCAAGAGCUUUCUCAGUAUAAAGGCAUUUCUUCCCAACUCAGUCUCCUAGAAAUGACGCUUUCAUGGCUUAUAAGUUUCUGACUGGUUGCUUCUGAGAGAAAUUGUCCCCCAAUACCUGGCCAUUCGCAGAAGUUUACCCUGUUUUUCAUGGUGACAUCAUAUGAGUUUUCCCAAAAGUUUCCUCCUAAUUUGCCUCCUACAUAUCUCUUCCCUGAUGUCCAGAAUAAUUUACGGUCCUCUCCCCAUCGGGUGUGUGUGUGUUUGUUUGUUUGUUUUUUGUGACUGCGAGGAGGGGAGUGGACCCCUCAACCAUGUGCGUGCCCCCACUGCUGCCAUCCCCCUGUCCCCUCUUGACUGCCAGCAACAGCUUGGUAUGGGCCCAAUGCCCAUCCAUUUUCAGGGCUAGUUGAUUUGGCAGGUGAGUUGUUACACACUCCUUAGCAGAUCCUCUCCCCAUAUGUUAAUAUUCAACAUUUGGUCACUCUUCCUCUUACCGGUUACUUUUUCCUCUCACUUUCUCUGUUUAUAAGCUUUUUCUACCUACUUUUGUGUGAGAAAAAUUAGCGUGUGUUGGAGGGUAUUUCUGCUUAUGGGAGUAUAGGUCAUGGGUCUUGGGAUAUGUCCCUUGUACUUAUACAUAUGCCCAUGGGGCCCCAUCCUUGCUGGCACUGGUGUGUUUCCCUGCAGCCCCCUCUGCUGGGGUCUGCUGCUGUUUCUGAGGGUGUGUUUGUUUGUUUCACUGGUGUAGUUAUAUAUAUGGAGCUCUAUAUUUCAGAUUUACAUAUCUUUCCAGGGAUGAAUGACUGUCUUAAAACAGAUCACAGUGGUGGAGAUUUGGAGAAUCAGUGGUCUGGUCUAUAAGCCCUGAGAGUGGUUAAGAAACAAAUACAAAGAAUUAAGCAGAUGGGUGCUAUUAUGCCUGGAAUAAAAGGCUUGCUUGGUUCUUAAGCCUACUUCUGUAAGUAUACUCCAGGGCUGGAAGGGUGGGAUAGAAACAGAUUUCUUUAUGUGGUUCCUGUUGCAAACUCUGUCUUGUUUGGCCAUUAAGGCUUCAGAUUUUCUUAUAUUCUUCUAGCAAUCUUUUUGUUCCUAGUUGAGGAUUGGACACCUUACACCAUCCUCACACAGACUCUGGUUUAGAGCAAAAAUAGCCAAGAUCACUUUCACCACCGCCUCUUGGUCUGACCCUGGUCGUUAAGUAGGGCAGAGCUCAAUUUGGGUGCCUCUUUAAGGACGAGUGUAUGUUAGAAGCCAAGCCCUAGGGUUAGGGGUGGGGGAGGUACUGUAAAAUAGGUGUUAUUGUGCCAAAUGCUUGAGUUACGGCUGUUACUCCACAGGAGAAAUACCAUGAUUUAAUUCUGGUGACUUGGCAUUAGCCUCUAGGAUUCUGCAAAGGAUUGUGCUGACUCAGCCUUCUGUCCACCAGAAUGCCCACUGUGCAUUGCUCUCUGGAGCAGGACUGCUGCUGCUAAGGACUUCUGGUGUGAGAAAGGGACUGGGAAGGAAUGCUUCCAGCCACUGGGAACAUGGAAUGGUGCCCCCUCAGGAAGCAUGUUAAUUGACCUAAGUCAGCAGAGUCAGCCCGGCUCUUUUGCCCCCAAAUUCCAGGGUUCCAGGUAAGUACAGUUGCUUAGAGUCAGCUCAUAUCUACUGUUGGGACCGCACGUGGUAUUGCCAGGCCAGGGUGUUAGGUGUAAAAGAACAUGUUGCGUGACAAGAGGAGGGGGGAUUUCUGGUUACAUCAACUCUCGGUGAAAACACUCAUAGUUCAAACUGAAGUUGGCUGAAAUCCUUAAGAUACAGCACACCACACUUCUAAUCAUUCCAUGCCAGGUGUUUGUCGAUGCUUUCUUUAAAACGUUUCCUUUGUCUUGUUUUUGUUCUAAAUUGUUUUUGGUUUCUAACUUUUAUACACAAGUCACAUUCCCAGAAAGCACAAGUGAAGAAUCUUCUUUCCUCAGAUACAUGCUGCUAAGAAAAUAGUUUUAUAUAUAGAAUUUCAACAGGAGAGAGAAAAGGACAGGGAGAGAGGGGUACAAGAGAGGCGGGGAAAGAAGGUGGCAGUGAGCACAAGACCCGGUGGCCAGUUUCUCUCCUGUUGCCUAGAUCUGUGACUGGCAUUUUUGGUAUCAGAAAUUGGGGUGGAAUUACAAAACUAACUCCGCCUAAUUUGCUGUUAGUUAGAAAACUAACUCCACCCCACCCCUAAUUUGUUAGAGUUGGAGUUAUUCAGAAGUGAAUGGGACAGGAAGUGAGACUCAUGGAAUAUAUGGGGGCUACUGACUGAGCUGAAUUUUCUGUCCCCUCCCAUUCUGUCUGCAUGUAAGACACUGCUUCAGUAUUAACAUGUUCACAGAGUGAUGUGACUGAUAGAGCAGAAAACCUAAAUCCCAGGGCUGGCUGAAUUUGUAUGAGAAUAUGAAAUGGAUAAUGAUAGAGCAACAGCCUGGAGGGGAGAGAGGAUGGAAGGAGAACACCUUGAAAGAGAAGUGGUCUUAGGGACAAGAGUAGUAGGAAAAACUACCUGGAGGACGAGGAAUUUUGCAGACUUUUCUUUGCUAAAAGAAAACAUGGACUUCUCUACCCCACACUACUUUAGCUGGGCUUUAGGGUUGCCAGAAUUUUCACCUGAUGGCUACAGAAACCAUUUGCCUAGGGGUACAGAACAUUCUUCUAGGUUCUGUUGGUUCCCUUGGUGAUAACACCCUAUCAAAGAUUGACCUGUGCUUCAGUCAUCUCCUUGCCCACCCCAUCCCCUCAAUUCGUGUCAGCUCUAGAACCCCAUGAGUCUCAUGGACGGGUCCCGACUCCCUUGGGGAUGCCUCCAGCAGCUGCUGCUUAACGGAGAAGCUGGGCUGGGCUGGACUGGAGGGAGCAGGAGCAAGGGCAGAGGACAAGGGGGAAGAAAAGGAGACUGGGGGGAAGGGAACAAGGGACCCAGCAAAGGUGGGCCUCCAGGGGGGCAGCAGGGUUAGGAGUUUGUGAGAAAGGUAAAUGCAAGGAGAAGGCAGGAGAUGAAAGAGAAGCAGAUCUCAGAUUCAGAAGUUAAAUACCCCACUCACCCCCUUCUUCCUGGGACUGCCAAGAUACUUUUGGUGACACUGACUUUUCUAACUCAUAGCUGGAAAUGAGGGGCUAUUACCUGUCCUGAUAAAUACCCAACUCAGGGAGCGGGGACAUGUCCCUCCCCAGAGUUCAGGCUCUUCUCCCUGUAUCGCCAGCUCCCACCUUGGAGGCUGCGCAUAGCAGGGGAGGGCUGCACCGGCAUCGGCCCUUCGAGGACCACCAGACCCAUAGCAAGGAGCUAAAGCUGUUUGGUCUUCCAAAGAUGAGGUGGUUUAAAGAAACCCUUAAACCGGGGGGGUGGGGGUGGGACAGGGAGCAGGGAGUGACACAAAUAGGAAAAAAAACACUUGUCUGAUGGGAGUUUUCUUCCUUUUUUUUUUUUUCUGUAUUUUCCAAGUUUACGUUUUUCUUUAGUUCAUUCCUCUGGUGUCCGUUUCUCUCUUUUGUGCGCGUGUGCACGUACUCUCUCUCGCUCUUGCUUUUUUGGUUGUGUUUCAGUUUUUUUUUUUGAAAGAACUUUGGAUUUGCCGUUGGUGGGCAGUGCCUGUCCCUGGAGGCUGGACCCUCACGUGGCAGGGCUAGGACAAGGGGCAGGCCCACGGCCGCUGAGAGGAUCUCUGUGUUUAAAGCCUUUGAGAAUAAGUUACUGCAGUUCCCAGGGUGCAAGGUAGGGAUUGGCAGAGGGGUUUCUGGUGGCGGCAUCCCCUAGAGUCCAGGCCACAGGGGCUCCCCUGUCAGGCAAGGAGAGGGUUAGGAGGGAGAGGGUAGGAAGAGUGAACCAGAAGCACUUCUCCCAUGCCAGCCUCCAGUUUGGUUAGAGUUUUGUGGGCUCCCUGCCCAUGCCAGGCUCCAACUUUGGGAGCCAACUGAGCAUUUGGAAAGAGUUUGUGAGCGGUGUGGUGCUCUAGACAAAGGGUUAGGAAGGAGAAGAGAGAGUGGCGAAGUUUGUUUUCCUUCCCCCUUCUUUGCCUUGGGCUUUCUUUUUCGUUUCUUCUUUUUAUCUUCUUUUUCAAAAUUUUUUGGUGUUUUCUCAGUGGAACAUCAUGGGAUAACGUGUGUGUGUGCAUGUAUGUGUAUGCAUUUAUGGGGAUGGGGAGCUGGGAAUUCAGUGAGGAAAAGGAAGAUAGAACCAAGGAUAUAUUUUGUGUGUGGUAGGCAGACAUGUAUGAAUAAUCAGGGUGCCAAGAUGGGUGUAUGUGUCUGUGAAGAUGGGCAAGGGCUACAUCUGCAAGGAGCUGAGGAGGAGGAUCAAUGUGUGUGUCUGUGGGGAUUGGGAGGAGGCAGGACUCUGCUGGAAGUGGGGUGUGUGGUGCCCACUGAGGGUGGGAACUGAACAGUUCCUGUGAGGUGGGCGGGGCCAGGGGGUGGGGUGAGGGAUUUGAGCUCCCACCGAACACCCCUUGGGGUAAAAGAGGGAGCCCUGAGGCCCUCCCCUCUCCCCAUCUUGGUUAAUCUGUUUAUAAAGCUAGAAGUGUAGAGGUAGUCGUAGUUUUUGGGUUGGAGUCCGUGUGAGGUAAUCUUGCUUCCUCUUUGGCAAAAGCCACAGCAGCCGAGGCAGCAGUGGCGGCGUUGGUGAUGGAGAUGGGUGGGCCCCCUUGAGGUGGGGCUGCCUUGCGCCUGUGGGCCGAGGAGCGCAGGUGGGAGGCUAGGGCUUCACGCCCACUCAGCAGCACCUCACAUGCCAGGCAGUGGUAGGUGCAGAUGGGCACCCGCAAUGGGGGUGGCAUGGAGCCCCCAGAGCCCCGCCCAAAGAAGCAGAAGGAUCUCUGGUGGGCAGUAGCCGGGGCCUCCCCGUCAAAUGCCAUCUUGCACUGGCGGCACAGGUAGCGAUGGGUUACAUCCACGGUGGAGAUGCCAGUGCUGCCUGUCAGCAGCUCAUCAACCUCACCAGCUUCCCCCUCCCCUGGAGCAGGCAGUUCAGGAGGCUUUGGAGGUGCUGUGGCUGUGGGCUCAGGGGGCUGGGGUGGCGGCUGGAGGAGGGCAUUGGGGAGCAGCCCAAUGAGGGUCUGAGGUAUCAUGGGGUUCAUGGGAAAUAGCCCCUUCUUCAUGCCAUAGAGCUGUUGGAAGUAGGCCCCCUGUAGCUGGGGGCCAAAGACAGCUGGCGGUGCUGUUCCCCCAGCAGGGGGCAAUGGAAAGGGCAGGAACUGGCCCCCCAACAGGGCUGGGACAGUGGUCUUCAAUGCUUUGAGGUUCUUGAGGGCAUCAUUGGAGGAGCUGGUGGGGCCUGCAACUGGCUUUCGCUCACUGGAGACCUUGUCCCCCAAGGGCUCAGUAGGAGGGCCUGGGACAGGGUCAGUGGUGCCUGCUGUGGAGGUGUUGGUUUGGUCGGGCAUGGGUCUCUGAGGUAAGGGGCGGCCUGGGCCAGCAGUCUGGACCACUGUGGUGGUAGGCAGGACCGAAGUGGCGAGGCCGAGGAGGCCUGAGGAGGCUGCCGGGCCUAGAAAGGUGAAAGGAAGGAUGAAGGAUUAGCCAUCUCCUGUCCCAUCAUUCUUCCUGCCAUAGGCCACCUCCAGCCACACACACCCGUUCCCAGCACCGGAUUUCCAUGCCCCUUCCCUCCCUUCUUUCCCCCAAGAGCCUGAUGCAAAGGAAGGCCACAGGAGAUUGGGCAUGGGAAGAAUCAGGAAGGAAAAGGAAGGGCAUGUCAUUAGAGGGGGAUGUUCUCUGAAGUCCAGCUCCUCCCAGCCUCCCUACUCACCUGAAUUGAAAGGAGCUAAGUUGCCCAGCGGGGGCUGAGCCAGAGCUGGGCCAGAUAAGAGGACCGGCGCCAGGCGAGGCAAGGUUGGGGCAGCCCCGAGGGGCAUGGAGGCAGGUGUGGUGGCAGGUGGGGCCUUGAGAGCUGGGGGAGCCUCAGGUGCUGGGGCCAAGUCGUAGCACUUGCUUUCACUCUUCAGCUGGGCUCGAACCGCCUCCUUGAGCUUGGCCAGGUGCUGACGGGAAAAGAGAUGGCCUCGGCAGGAGACAUAGAAAUCAUACUUGACAUCACAAUAGGGGCAGUCAGUGCGCUGGGCUGCUAAGAGGCCCUCACUGCUGCCCCCAGUGCUCCCAGCGGCUGUCCCCUGUAGUUUGGCCUUCUUUUCCUUGGCACGAGCAUUCUGGAACCAGACCUGGAUGACUCUCUUGGGCAGCCCAAUCUCCUCUCCCAGCACCUCACACUCCUGCAUGGUGGGGGUGCGGUAAGCUUCAUAGCAGGCUUUCAUGAUCUUCAGCUGCAGGCUGCUCAUCUGGGUCCUGUAGCGCCGCUGCCCCAUUCCAUCUGGAACCCCAGUCCCACCUCCAGGUCCCCCACUGGUCCCUCCAGCCCCAGGGGAUUCUGGUUCAGCUAGGCUGGAAGCAGAUGAAUCACUCAGAUCUCCUGCAGAGAGACUGCAAGCCUCACUCUCUGGAGAAGCUUUAGGUGGUUCCUCUGGGCCCUCUUCCUCACUGGGUGGAGGGGGAGGUAGGAGAGGUAGAGGUGGCUCUGGUGUUGGGGUGGUGGCCUCUUUCCCAGGUGGUAGGAAAGGCUGGGGCCCAGAAGCAAGCGUGGCAGUGGGGUAGGGAAAAGCAGGUGCUUCCCUCUUUGGGGCUUCCCUCCCAGUGCCAUCAUCUACCUUGCCUAAUAAGAGGUUGAACUUGGGCAAGGAUGCAGGGGUGGCUGUGGCAGGCGGUUUCACUGCUGGACUAGGCACCCCCCCAGGGGUGCUUCGAAACUGGCCUUUCCUCUCCCGGGCCCUGGUAUUCUGGAACCAGACCUGUACCACUCGCUUUUUGAGCCCCACCUCCUCGGAGAUGCAGUCGAGCAUCUUGCGUGUUGGGUUGGAAUCCUGCAUGUACCAACGGUACAGGAUCUCUAGCUGCUCAGGCAAGAUGGUGGUGCGCAGGCGCUUGUCCCUGGGGGGCUCGCCCUCCCCUCCUCCCCCUGCUUCACUGCCUGUGGGAGACAAGCUGCCGUCCUCAUGCUUCCGUUUGAGAGGUGGACCUGGCAUUGGUGAGGUGGCUGCCACCAGGGGGUUUCUCUCCCCAAACACCAGCAAGGGCAGAUCUAGGAGUUGGGGGGGAGCACUGGGCUGCAGAGAUGGCAGGAAAUGUAGUCGGCGGUGACUGGUCAGGAGGUCCUGGCUGGAGAAAGAAAUGGCACACUGGUCACAGGUAUGGGCUGGGGAAGGUGAUGGAGUAGCCUUCUCUUCAGGCUCUUUGCCUCCUGCCUUUGUUGCCUCUGCUUGGCUCAGCUCCUCCCCAUCUGGAGGCUCUGGUAAUGGGCCCUCAGGCCCUGCUGGAGGUUCAAGGCCCUGUUCCUCCUCUACUUCUUCUUCUUCCACCUCUUCCUCCUCUUCCCCUCUCUCUGCCUCUUCCUCCUCCUCUUCAAGGGUCUGGUCAUCAUAGCACUUCUUGAGGUGGCGCACCAACUCAAAAACACAGGAGAAAGUGGCGUGGCAACGCCUGCAGCCGGAGGCUCCCCCAGUGCCUCCUCCGGUUGGCAUGGACCCACCCUCACAGGCAUUUUUGCGUGCUUUCUGGCGGGCAUUCUGGAACCACACCACCACCACACGGCUAGCCAGACCCAACAGACUUGCGAGUCGCUCCACCUCUCCGUCUUUGGGGUAGGCGCUAGUCUCAAAGAAAGACUGCAGGGCUUGGGUCUGGAACUCUGUGAACUUGGUUCUGGAGAACCGGCGGCCGGCAGGCACCAGGGGAGGAAGAUUCCCUCUGGAGCUUUCUUCCUCUUCUAUGGGCCAGUGUCCCCCUGCUCGACUUCGCUCUUCAGGGGCACGGGUCCCCCCUGCCUCAGGCUCUGGGACCAGGAAGGGUGGGCCCAGAUGGGGAACAGGUGAAUCCAGAGACCCAUCAGGAGGUUUGGGAGGCUCUGCAAGGGGCGGGUAUAGGCUGUCAUAGCUCUUUCGAAACUGAGCAGCAUAACGGCUCAGGGCUUCAAAGGGCAGAAAGCGGCGGUGGACAUGUUCCUCGUGUGUCUUGAGGAUAAGCAUAUUGGAGAAGAGUUUCCCACAGGCCCCACAGGCCAGCUUGUCCCCACCCCCGAGGGCCUCAGGUGGGGGUGGGGUAGGGGGAGGGGGCACAGCUUGCUUCCCUUCAUUGUACUGGAUCACCAGCUCAAAGCCAAAGUUUUCUAGAAGGGCUUUGGCUGCAGUGCGGGCAGCCUCGUUGGGCAAUGGGUCGGGGGGUGAGGAAGGCCCUGCCUCAUUACCCUCUUUGGCCAUGGGGGGCCGCUCCCACUCCCGCUCAGCCAGCUCAGCCUUGGGAGGUUGGGGUGGAGGAGGAGGGGUGGCAGCUGGCAGGGACAGCACAGGUGCAGGCCCAGCUAGUGUCAGCUUGGGCCCCACCUUGAGAUCGUGGAGGUAGAAGGGCAGGAGCAGCUGCUGCUGCUGGAGCUUAAGCAGUGAUUCGGGCACCAGAGGGAAGGGGGGCAGGACUGGUGGGGUGAAGAGAGGGGCUGGGAAUCGGUGCAGGUCCAAGGGAGGUGGGGGAGGGGACAGGAAAGGCAAUCCAGAUAUGAAGCCACUGGUGUCAGGGCCCUUCUUCUCAGUGCCCACCUCCCCCUCUGUCUCGCCUUCCUUGGGCUCUUCUUGGCUGCGUUCUGGCCCUUCAAUCUUGGAAUCAGUCUUGGUUCCCCGAGAGCGAGUCUGAUGCAGAACUGACCGCAUGUGGAUCUCCAGGGUGGAGCUCUGGUUGUAGGAGACUCUGCAGACUGUGCACUUAAAGGGCUUGUCUGUGGCAGCAGUGGUGGUGGGUGGGGCACCGGCCUCUCCCCGUGCAGGGGCAGAGGGGUCAAUGGCAGCCUUCUUCAUCUUGUGAAGGUGGGAGACAGAAUUAUAAUGAACCAACAGAAUAUUCUUCUGGGUGAAGGACUCCUUACACACAGUGCACUUAUAGGGCCGGGCAGGGUCGAGAAACUUGUCCAGGGCAAAGUUGGUGGUUUUCCGAUAGGUCAGAGGGUGGCGAGAGUCAGCUGGAGCUGGCUCUGCAGAGCGGAGCUCCCCAGUGGUCCCCUCUUCCUCCUCAGCCAUGGUGGGCGGAGGAGCUACGUCUUCAGCUUGGGCAUCAGGUUCAGGGACUGGAGAUGGGGCUGGAGAAGGGGGUUGGCCAGGGCUUCCUGAGGGUUUGUCUGGGACCUCAACUGAGGCCAGGGGAGGCUCAGGAAGAGGAUCUGGACUGGCUUCUGGGGUCAGGUUAGGGCCUUCUAGGGGAGAGAGAAGAAAGUACAAUGAGGAGGGAACUUCGUUUAAGCCAGACCCCACCCACUCAAUACCAAGGCAGUUGACCUUGGCCUCAGUCAUCUUCAGACCUUGUUGGCCCAUGGAGUCCCCUUUCCUGGUACCUUGGGAGGUUUGCUGUUCCAUUCCUUACCUGCUGCCUGGUCUCUGCUCGGUGUAGGCUCUGGCCCAUGAGUGGGGGGUUCUUGGCCAUUGUCCAGAGGGCUUAAUGUGGGUGCAGACAGCACUUUGGUUGUAAAUGUCAUUUCUACAGUUGUAGCCUGCAAUGAGAAAAAGCCUAGUGGCUUCACCACCACCCCCCACUGCCCCUAUGCCACUCCUGACCCAUCUGCCCUACACCUGUACUUGUGCCGAGAUCCCUUGCCACAGAUCCAGCCUCCUGUCUGAACAAACCUCCCACCUAAUUGCUGCUUUUGCUACAGAUGAGAGAGCCUGGGCUGCUACCUCUCCUAUCUGGCUUCCUCUUUCCCCAAACCAGAAGUCAUCAUUCUUUGAGGCUACCUGGUCUGGCAGGCUGGUACCUGCUGUUCAACAACUCUUCUCAGGACUUAGUGGAGGUGAAACAGAAGCCUCUGCCUCAUCUCUUAAGUAGAGGCAGCUAGACAAGCUCAGUUCUGAGUCUCCCUCUCUAAAAUCCAACUUCAAAUCCAUGAAAUGCUGCUUUUGUUGCCAACACAUGCACUUGCCUGAAUACUCCUGCCUCUUCCUCCCCUCCUGGAUGGCCCUAACAAGGCCUUGUCGGACCGUCCUCACCCAGCCAACACACGCACUUGCCUGAAUGCCCCCUGCCCCCAACACAUGCACCUGCCUGAAUACCCCUGCCUCUUCCUCCCCUCCUGCACAGCCCUAAUAAGGUCUUGUUGUACCGUCCUCACCCAGCCUGUACUCACUACAAGCAGCAGCUUCUCAACGCACUCGGGCACCACGUUGUGAAGGUGGCUAAGGUGGAAGUGCAGGGCAGGCCGGCCCACCAGCUGUUCCUGGCACAGUGGGCAUCUGUACUUGGGCUGCACUGCAUGCUGGGAGAGUGUAUGAGCCCUCACCUGGCUGGACUCUGGGCUCAGGAAGCUGCAGUAUGGACAGCAGUAUACCUGGAGGGAACAUAUGGGCAGUGGACGAAGUGUCAGGGAAGGAUGGGACCC